CACCACAACAAAACGCUAAGUCCUGGGCAAAUAAAUUUAAGUUUAUUGAAACAUUUCAUGUCAUACAGUAACUACAGGUGGAACAUUUAUUCCCAAAUCUCCCCCUGACAAAUCCUAUGACACUGGGAAAACAGAGCUGACAGAAGAAUAAAGCACAAACCAGAAGGGAAAGGCGACUGAAUCGGCUAUAAAAAAGGAAAAAAGUUCCUCCACGUUAAAGUUGCAUCUGUGCGGUGCCAUGCACUGGCAGUGUGGGAAGCAUUUCGUCUCACAAAACGUCUCCUAGAUGAACUAUUCAGUAAAAAGUAAAUGAAAAGCCACCGAAGUAGCCCACAUAAUGAUUAGAGGAGACCUUACGGCCAAAGGAGCUGAUUGUCCCGACUUCCCUUCAUACACCUGUGACAAUUACAGCGGGGUGUUAAAUAGCAGAUUAAGUGUGAUAUAAAUGACUUCACAUGCCGAAAACCUGCUUAAACCGGUCUAAUAUCAGCUAAACACCAAGCUGUUUUUCUUCCAAGCAGGAUAAAACAAUUGUUUAGGGAAUGUUUUAUUGCUAUGCAGCCCAAAUGUUUCAUUUAAUAUAGAGUAAUCAAUGCACAGACGUUCAGACCGGAGCAGUAACGUGAAAAGUGAUAUGUUAAAUAACUCAACGGUAGUAAAGCAACACUGAUGAUUAUAGGAACCUCUUCUAGAGAUCUAUACAGUAAUGAUCUUACAAUUCACAGAUUUUGAGGCACUACAGCCGACUCUACGGAGACUGAAUAGGGAUCCUUCUAGUAGUCUGGAGAUCUAGGAGGAGCUCUCUGCAGACUCUGCCGUCUUGGAGGUCUUGUCGUCUGAAGGACUUUCACUGGACAAAGCAGCGUCUCCGUUCUCUGUUCUGUUGUUCACUAAAUGCUUCCCUACAGCUUUAAGGAGAAAGAGAAAAGGAAGCAGGGUCAGCAGUGCCAUUAUUGUGAGCGGCUCCUGACCCCUCCUCCAGCUCGUCCAGGUACAGACGGUAGCGGUGUCCGCUGUCAUCUUCAUACUCCACGUUCUCAUCGUCAGAGUCCACCUCUGGAGCCACGUAAACCACCUCGAACUCAAUUUCCCCCCGCUGCAGAACGAGGAAAAAAAAAAAUGAACAUCUGGAAGUGUGGGUGUAUGAGUAAAUGUCAGAGCCUGACAGACCAAGUCCUCGUUUGCUUUUACUAAACAGAAAACAGCGCCCACUUUGUGCGUUCGACAGAAAAGAAGUCAGAUGGGUCUGGAGCAACACGAGGGUUGAUGUUGUUGACGGCUAAGAUGGCAUCUCCCACAUGCAGUCCUCCGCAGCGCUCUGCGGGCUGGGUUGGGUGGAUUUCGGAGAUGAGGAUGGGAACGCCGUGCUCUUUCCCGCCCUCUCCUUGUCCAGAUACUUGGCUGCCAGUCUGGCGCCGUACACCUCGGCCUGUAGUACCGCAAUGUGCCUGCGGAGGGCCUCGUUCUCUUUCUUCAACAUCUUCACCUCUGCCUCCAACUUGGCCUCCUUCACUUUUUCUUUCUUGCUGGCCUCCAGCUCCUUCUCCUGAGACACGCGGUCAAACAAAGUCAAGAGGACAAGAAACAGAAGACCUACGUCACCACAAAAACUACAAACUCACAACAGUGCAUAUGACAAGCGAGGAAGCUGUUGCUGUGCUCACCAUCCUGUCCUUGAUAGAGUCAGAGUCGACCGCCUGUCCACCUUUGGCUUGGAGUUUGAGCUGCAUGGCGUGAAGUUGAAGAAGUUGUUCGUGGACCUCCUUCUCCACCACAACC